AGGUGUCAGGGUGGGUUGUCCUGCACAGAGAGGCUUCCUGUUUGGGAGGUCCUACUUUAUCAAUUUGCUGGAACCUCUGUACAUCAUCUCAGGCAGGACUCUCGCCUUCCUCCACUUACAGACACCGGCAGUGUCAUGUGGCAACAGUGUUUUAUCCCCAAGGUCGAGUGUGUGGCCCUGUUCUGCUGUCUGGGCACCCGGUGGAGGGGAGGGUGCCCUGUGCUGACAGCUGCUGCAUUGGGUUUCAGGUUCUGUAGGUGUUGUUCCUUUUGUCUGUCAUCCAACACAGCUCUCUCUUCUGUUCUGCAGGUCACUGUGGAUUCCCGAUGUCCCGGUACUUGUGCAGGACCACUUGGUGUGCCUCACCCGAUGGAACACCCAGCAUCACUUCUCAGAGGCUAUUCAUCACCACCACCCCCACCUCUGUUGUGGCCUAUGUGGUCUCACCCACCGCCACCACCACCACCACCAGUUACAGCACUCGCACAGUCCAUUUGCCACAUGAAGGGGCCCCUCAGCUGUGGCAAUGAUGUGUUUAGAGAAGAUGUCAGAGGUGCAUUACGGCCCGAAUGUUUCCCUGCUCCAACCUGCCCCCUCUGCUGUUCUCUCCUAUUGUCACCCCUAAUGAAAUUGUCACAGUUC